GAUGAACGCUGGCGGCGUGCCUAAUACAUGCAAGUCGAGCGAACAGACGAGGAGCUUGCUCCUCUGACGUUAGCGGCGGACGGGUGAGUAACACGUGGAUAACCUACCUAUAAGACUGGGAUAACUUCGGGAAACCGGAGCUAAUACCGGAUAAUAUAUUGAACCGCAUGGUUCAAUAGUGAAAGACGGUUUUGCUGUCACUUAUAGAUGGAUCCGCGCCGCAUUGGCUAGUUGGUAAGGUAACGGCUUACCAAGGCAACGAUGCGUAGCCGACCUGAGAGGGUGAUCGGCCACACUGGAACUGAGACACGGUCCAGACUCCUACGGGAGGCAGCAGUAGGGAAUCUUCCGCGAUGGGCGAAAGCCUGACGGAGCAACGCCGCGUGAGUGAUGAAGGUCUUCGGAUCGUAAAACUCUGUUAUUAGGGAAGAACAAAUGUGUAAGUAACUAUGCACGUCUUGACGGUACCUAAUCAGAAAGCCACGGCUAACUACGUG
rnacentral:rRNA from 1 species